GCCUCGGUAGCUCAGCAGGUAGAGCACCCGGCUGUUAACCGGACGGUCGAAAGUUCGAGUCUUUCCCGGGGCGCCA
rnacentral:tRNA from 1 species